UUAGAGACCUUUAAUAAUAUUUGACCGUCAUUUAAAUAAAUUUUUUAAAAAAUAAGCGGGAGUUUUUUUCUUUUUGGUGAGAAGAGUUUAAGCGCUGUUUUUUUUUUUGGUGAAAAGAGUUUAAGCGCUUUAUUUUCACUAACUUUCUAGAACUCGUUUCUUUCCCUCAUCAUCCACUCUCAGCUCAUCCGGUUCCCCUCUCUCUCCUCUCUGUUCCUCGUCUCUCUCAAUCUCUAUCUCAACUCACCUCCUUUUUUUCUCUCUCAUCUCCAAUCAGCGACGAACGUCGUUCCUCCUGUAAGUUUUUUAAUUUUGUAAUGAAUUCACCGGUCAUUUCCUUCGCCAGUGUGCUCGUCUUCGUGCGGAUUCCGUCGCUAUUCAAGCAACUUUAUUUUAUCACCACCACGCCACUGCCUAUCACCAUCACGCCAUGUCAUCGCCAAUCGAACAUCAUUCCGCAAAUGAAGCUACAAUUGGACUUAAUUUAGUCAUUGACGAUUUGGUACGUACACAAAGGCUUUGGGAUAUGAAAAACAAAGAGGUGAAAAUUUUCUAUAUGUGUGAAAUUCGCAAGGACUUCACAAUCGACGCAACUUUCAAGGGGAAUGCGUCUUGUUUCUUGAAUCAUAGUUGUGAUCCAAACUGCAAAUUGGAGAAAUGGUGAGUUUUUCAGAUUGUUCUAUUAUAACUACUAAAGACGAGCUUAUAUGAAUGGAGGUGUUGACGUGUAGUGUCUACUAUUAAUGCUAUUUUGAGAUCUAUUUUUUCUUAUAUGAUAAACAAAGUCAUGAUCAUAAUAUUCGUGCUCUGCUGCAAUUUGGCUAUAGACCCCUGCAGACUGCAAAGUCUUUCAUGAAUUGGUCUCCUUUGCACCCAGAUCACUUGAAUAUGAUUCUCCAAUUCAUCUGAAAGGAAUUAAGACAAUAAUUGGUUAUACUAGAUAAGCUUGGUGAUUGCUUGGUUGAUUCACUAAGUUGUCCUUAUUCAAAACAUUUUGCUUGCCAAUAAUAUCUACCAAACUGAUGAGUAAGAUUCUCUUGUAAUGCUCAUCACCUUGUCUCGUUGGCUUUUUCCCUGGUUACUGGACAUGAUGUUAUACCAUUUCAUGAGUUCUAAAUGGCAUUGUUUGACAUGACUAUUUGAUGCUAAUAUCAUACUUUCGUUGCAAUUGGAGUAUCUCUGGAGGCAGAUGGGGUGAUGGGGACUGCUUUCCUAUGCUGAUAUUAGCCUGCAGAUUGUAACUGUCGUGUUAGUGUUUGAACAUAUUGGUCUGUUUUUUACUAAGUCUAAGUCAUUGUGAAUAUUGCUGCAAUGGACCAUGUGCUCUGACUUCUUUCAUGCUCUUAACUGCUAUAGUUUCUCAAUGUUCUAGUGGAUGAAUGUGUAAGGGGAUGUAAGGUUAUAGAAUAAAUCAAUAAAGGAAGAUGGCUUACUUUUAGUUUACUUUGAUGCUAGAUUUUCCUCCUCUGCCUCCCCCACCCCCAAGAAAAAAAGAUGAAAAAAAUAGAAGAUGAAUGUAAGUAGAAUGGAGAGAUUCAUUUCUCAUUGGUAACCUUGAUAGGUCAAAAUUACAUGGGUACUUAUUUUAACACUUCAUGUAAAUAAAUACUAAACUAGAAUUUGAUAGAGCAUAUUGUUUAGGUGGUAAUAAAUGGAUGUGAAACAGGAUAGUUUGCCCCUCAGUUUAUUAUAAUGCCAGAGCGAUGGAGCAGUAUCUUAUUUGAAGAGGAAGGAAGAGAAGGGGGGGUGUGCAAGUAGCUUUAUAUGGAGUUAGGGUAGUACUUUCUCCUACUCAUAUUUGGUUACUGGACAUGAUGUUAUAUGGAAAUUUAACCCCGCCCAUCCGUGCCAUUUGGACGCCUCAUCAACUCUCUCUCUCUCUCUUUCUCUUCGUAUCACGUGUCCUGUGGAGCAAAUGACCAACCAUUUAACCUAUUUCUUUGUCUGGCGAUUGUUUUUGGUGGUCAAUGGUACAUAAGUGUUCCCCUGUUACAAUGAGAGGGUCGGUUUUCUUUACAUUAGUUGAAGGCAUUCCCUAGUCCAAGACUUCAUGACAAAAAAGAGUAGUUAAGCAAGACUUUGGUUAGUCCCUCCUAAUCUGAAGCUGGAAAAGCUAGCAAAAGGCUUAUAGAAACUUUGGCGAAGAUCAGUUGACUAGAAACUAAAAGCUAAAUUUUCCUGCUAAGUGCUAAAUUAAGAAAUAAUACUUUAUUUUGGGAAAUCUCUCUCAAGGAGUCAUGCGUAAUGUCUUAUGUAAGCUAACAACAUUUGAGAACCAUGGUUUUACUGUUUCCUUGUUUCUAGGAAUUAAUUGCGACACAAUUUUUUUAUCAGUUUUAUGUAUUAUGUCUCAUUGUAACUGUCUUAGCCUCUUAGGAGAAGAAGCUUGCAUCCAGAGAGCGCAAUUACUACAUGUCUCCCUAGUUAUUUGCUUGUGAUCUUUUUAUAUAUUUUUCUGAAUUUCUCGUAACUCUUCUUAUUUUCUUAUUUGUUUGUGAUCUUUUUAUAUAUUUUUCUGAACUUCUCGUAACUCUUCUUAUUUUCUCUGAACUUUUUGUCUUUUUUCGGUUUUUUUGUAUUUUUUUCUAAAAACAAGCAAAAAUAAAGUGCAGAUGCUCCUAUAAUUACCACCGCCACUAGUGCAGCUCAGGCAGCAGCUGCUACCAUCAAGCAACAAAAAGUUGUCAUGUGAAGCUUCAUCAAUUUGGUAGAGAUGAAAAUCUUCAGAAACUUAUGGAUAUGGCUAGGAGGUCUGAUGCUAGACAGCGUAAAAGAUCUCCUUUGGAUGCUAAGAGAAUGUCGUAUGUUGGAAAUGACUACUCCUAUCCGAGGAUGGAAGGUGAAUCUAGCACUAAUGAGAGUGAAGCUUAUGAGUGAAAUUGUGAUUUGUUACUUCAGACAGCUGUAGGAUUCUUCAGCGAUGCAGCUGAGGAACCAGUCUAAGUGCUCUAUUUUUUUUAUAACUUAGUUGAAUUUUUGGAUUCUUCUAACGUUAUAUUGAUAUGUAUAUGAUUUUGUAGUGAAUGAUAUUGAAUGAAAGGUAUUGAAAUUAUAAAGUCAUCUGAAUUA